rnacentral:rRNA from 1 species
GAUGAACGCUGGCGGCGUGCCUAAUACAUGCAAGUCGAGCGAACGGACGAGAAGCUUGCUUCUCUGAUGUUAACGGCGGACGGGUGAGUAACACGUGGAUAACCUACUUAUAAGACUGGGAUAACUUCGGGAAACCGGAGCUAAUACCGGAUAAUAUUUUGAACCGCAUGGUUCAAAAGUGAAAGACGGUCUUGCUGUCACUUAUAGAUGGAUCCGCGCUGCAUUAGCUAGUUGGUAAGGUAACGGCUUACCAAGGCAACGAUGCAUAGCCGACCUGGGAGGGUGAUCGGCCACCCUGGAACUGAGACACGGUCCAGACUCCUACGGGAGGCAGCAGUAGGGAAUCUUCCGCAAUGGGCGAAAGCCUGACGGAGCAACGCCGCGUGAGUGAUGAAGGUCUUCGGAUCGUAAAACUCUGUUAUUAGGGAAGAACAUAUGUGUAAGUAACUGUGCACAUCUUGACGGUACCUAAUCAGAAAGCCACGGCUAACUACGUG